rnacentral:rRNA from 1 species
UACGGGGGGAGCAAGCGUUGUUCGGAUUUACUGGGCGUAAAGGGCGCGUAGGCGGCCUGUGCAAGUCAGUUGUGAAAUCUCCGAGCUUAACUCGGAACGGUCAACUGAUACUGCUCGGCUAGAGUGCGGAAGGGGCAACUGGAAUUCUUGGUGUAGCGGUGAAAUGCGUAGAUAUCAAGAGGAACACCUGCGGCGAAGGCGGGUUGCUGGGCCGACACUGACGCUGAGGCGCGAAAGUGUGGGGAGCGAACAGG